AAGUAAACCGGGGAGAAAAGGACAAACAAAGAGCAAAGGGGUGGACUGCAAAUAUAUGGCAAAGCAAAAAAUUCAAAGCAACACAGUGAGACAAUAUAAAAGCUAGCAAAACCUAAGGGGAGAACAUGGAAAAAAAAAACAAACAAAACCA